rnacentral:tRNA from 1 species
UCCCCGGUGGUUCAGUGUUAAAACGUCUGCACUCCCAAUGCAGGGACCUGGGUUCGAAUCCUUGUCCGGGAA